ensembl:lncRNA
UUAACUCCUUUAUAUCAUAUUCAGAAGUUAAUUCAAGUCUAGACCUGUUUUGUGCCAGCCAACAAUAUUAGGCAAUUUAGACAUUGAAUAAUUGUCUAUAAAAAUUCAGUCAAAGUUGUGCCAAUGCUAAGCAACAGCACGUUUCAGCUUCUCUGUCAGCUGCUGACUUGCACAUAAACAUGCACGCAAAACCGAAGAGCCUUUUUCAUUUUGUAGUAUGUUUACUAGUUUAAUUAAGACACCAUUUCAGUCCAAUAAGCAAUAAUUAAAUGUAUUAACAUCCUUUAUCCCUAUCUGCCCUCACACCAUUUACUCCAGUCCCUUUUUUUUCUCUGUGCCAACUGCUCCGGCUUUACAAAUAUGAUAAGACCAAAGCUGCAAGAACUCUUCCAGCACUUUGGUAAUGGUUAACCAGAUAAUUUAUUUAGGGGUGGGAGUAGACAACAGUCAGAAGUUACUCUUCUUUUCUGUGCUUGCCUGCAAAUGAGUUGAAUUCAUUCAUAGCAGGACUCAGAAUGGAGGAGACGUUGCAACAAGAGAAACAAGAGUUGGAAUAUAAACAUUUGAAUGAGGAACAAGGUAACUUUUGACAUUUACUUCUCUUCUUCUGAAGUACUUCAGUAUUUCCACACUAGAAAGUUGAGUAAGUUAUUCAUUUGCAUACAGUGUGGUGUCUUUCGGUGAACUCAGACAGAGACUUUAACAGCUGAGCUGCUGUUACAACAAAUGAGAGACAUGUUUAGUUUUUCUGUCAGCAAACCACAUCUUUAUAUACGCCAUCAGUCAACCACAUUUGCUGGUCAUGCGUAAAAAAACACUGCUCUGUAUGUCUUUGAUCUCGUACUCUCAUUGUUAGCAUGGUUUCUCUGUUUUAUAGGUGGGAUCCGUCGCCGAUUGCGGGACAGGGAUCUUCUGAGGAAGAGAAAAGCUGAAGCAGAAGCGAAGGAGACUAACGAGAUGGAGAGCCAGAGGAAAAGACCCAGGGCUGAGAGUGGCACAAAGAGGAGAGGGAGGCCCAAGAAGAGCGAGCCGGAGAAAUCUGUCACUCAGGAGGAGGAGGAGGCAGGACCUCGGGAUGCUCCUGCAGUAGCGGAGGUGCCUGUACCUGCUGAGGCUAUCCCAGAUCAAACACCAUCUGUACUUGAUGUGGAAUCAAAACCUUCAUCUGCCCUUGCUUCCCCUGCUGCUCUGCCAGUGUUUGGAUCUAUCCAAAAGCCCAUCUUUGUUCCUACUCUGACUCCUCCGGCUCCAGUUAUCCCGACUCCAGCCCUUUUUUCACCCACAGCUCCAUCCCCCAACAAAGUCCUCGAUACGGCUCCAAUCCCUGUCCAAGAUUCGGCUCCAGCUCUAGAAGAUGUUCCAUUCCCAGUCCCAGUCCUAAUCCAAGCCCCUUUUUCAGUUUCAGCUGCUGCCCCUCCCGCAGCCCCUCCCCAGGUGGAGACCCUCUUCACAGAGUCACAAGGCAAGGAGGGCCAUGAGCAGGUCUGGAUUGAGGACUUGGGCCCAGAGGAGGAGGCAGACAGCUCUCCAUCUCCAAACAAAAGAGCUGAUGACGAUUUGAUUGAGACACCGUCGAUUGACGUACCUGAACAAAACGAAAUGUUCUCAAUUCCAACCUUGUCCUCGACACCUCCUCCACAAAAAUAUUUCUCAGGGAAUUCAUUCUAAUUCUUUCACUUUUCAGACGCUGCCUCGGCUCAGAACGUAUCUGAGGAUUAUUUUGGUUAGUGUGCAGCCUGUUGGUGAAAGAGUACAAACAUAUUGAGCAUUGCUUAUUUGACAAAUGUAUGAAUUUAAACCAAACCUGUAUGCUUAUUUAUUCUGGUUUUUACUUUAUGAAGCUCACAAAUUGUAUUUUGUAUUUUGCAUUUAAACAGCUAUUUUUGCCUGAUUGUAUUUCAAAGCAUUGGUAUAAAUCACUGGUUAUGAUGUAUUUUGGAUUUACAUGAUAGCAUUUUGUAAAAGUUGUUUUCCACCUAAUAAAUUACACUGCUUACAAUCAUCUGACUGUGGUCAUUAUUAUUAUUAUUAUUAUUAUUAUUAUUAUUAUUAUUAUUAUUAUUAUUAUUAUUAUUAUUAUUAUUAUUAUUAUGUGAUAAAUAAAAGACCAAAAUUAACUAUCCUACAAAAUGGGUGAAGACAGAAAUACUGGUGUCUCUUAUGAGACUGUCAUACAUUUAUAUAUAUAUAUAUAUAUAUAUAUAUAUAUAUAUAUAUUUUUUUUUUUUUUUUUUUUUUUUUCCGAGGAUUCUGCUUUUGUAACAUCCAAUAUAUUCCUUUUCACUUAGAUGGAGAAAUUAAUUCCAAAUUUUACUCCGAUAAAAUACAAAUACUAACAAUACUCAAACUGAUGAAUGUA